UAGGGAAUCUUGCGCAAUGGGCGAAAGCCUGACGCAGCAACGCCGCGUGGAGGACGAAGGCUUUCUGAGUUGUAAACUCCUUUCAGCAGGGACGAUUGUGACGGUACCUGCAGAAGAAGCACCGGCCAACUACGUGCCAGCAGCCGCGGUGAUACGUAGGGUGCAAGCGUUGUCCGGAUUUAUUGGGCGUAAAGAGCUCGUAGGCGGUUCGAUUAGUCGGGUGUGAAACCCCCAGGCUCAACCUGGGGCCGCCACUCGAUACUGUCGUGACUAGAGUCCGGUAGGGGACCAUGGAAUUCCUGGUGUAGCGGUGAAAUGCGCAGAUAUCAGGAGGAACACCAGCAGCGAAGGCGGUGGUCUGGGCCGGCACUGACGCUGAGGAGCGAAAGCGUGGGGAGCGAACAGGAUUAGAUACCCUGGUAGUCCACGCCGUAAACGUUGGGCACUAGGUGUGGGGCCUAUUCAACGGGUUCCGUGCCGCAGCUAACGCAUUAAGUGCCCCGCCUGGGGAGUACGGCCGCAAGG
rnacentral:rRNA from 1 species